rnacentral:rRNA from 1 species
GGUUAAGUUAGAAAGGGCGCACGGUGGAUGCCUUGACACUAGGAGUCGAUGAAGGACGGGACUAACGCCGAUAUGCUUCGGGGAGCUGUAAGUAAGCUUUGAUCCGAAGAUUUCCGAAUGGGGAAACCCACCAUACGUAAUGGUAUGGUAUCCUUAUCUGAAUACAUAGGGUAAGGAAGACAGACCCAGGGAACUGAAACAUCUAAGUACCUGGAGGAAGAGAAAGCAAAUGCGAUUUCCUGAGUAGCGGCGAGCGAAACGGAACAUAGCCCAAACCAAGAGGCUUGCCUCUUGGGGUUGUAGGACAUUCUAUACGGAGUUACAAAGGAACGAGGUAGACGAAGCGACCUGGAAAGGUCCGUCGUAGAGGGUAACAACCCCGUAGUCGAAACUUCGUUCUCUCUUGAAUGUAUCCUGAGUACGGCGAACACGUGAAAUUCCGUCGGAAUCUGGGAGGACCAUCUCCCAAGGCUAAAUACUCCCUAGUGAUCGAUAGUGAACCAGUACCGUGAGGGAAAGGUGAAAAGCACCCCGGAAGGGGAGUGAAAGAGAUCCUGAAACCGUGUGCCUACAAAUAGUCAGAGCCCGUUAACGGGUGAUGGCGUGCCUUUGUAGAAUGAACCGGCGAGUUACGAUCCCGUGCGAGGUUAAGCUGAAGAGGCGGAGCCGCAGCGAAAGCGAGUCUGAAUAGGGCGUUUAGUACGUGGUCGUAGACCCGAAACCAGGUGAUCUACCCAUGUCCAGGGUGAAGUUCAGGUAACACUGAAUGGAGGCCCGAACCCACGCACGUUGAAAAGUGCGGGGAUGAGGUGUGGGUAGCGGAGAAAUUCCAAUCGAACCUGGAGAUAGCUGGUUCUCCCCGAAAUAGCUUUAGGGCUAGCCUUAAGUGUAAGAGUCUUGGAGGUAGAGCACUGAUUGGACUAGGGGCCUACAUCGGAUUACCGAAUUCAGUCAAACUCCGAAUGCCAAUGACUUAUCCUUAGGAGUCAGACUGCGAGUGAUAAGAUCCGUAGUCAAAAGGGAAACAGCCCAGACCGCCAGCUAAGGUCCCAAAGUGUGUAUUAAGUGGAAAAGGAUGUGGAGUUGCUUAGACAACUAGGAUGUUGGCUUAGAAGCAGCCACCAUUUAAAGAGUGCGUAAUAGCUCACUAGUCGAGUGACUCUGCGCCGAAAAUGUACCGGGGCUAAAUACACCACCGAAGCUGCGGAUUGAUACCAAUGGUAUCAGUGGUAGGGGAGCGUUCUAAGGACAGUGAAGUCAGACCGGAAGGACUGGUGGAGUGCUUAGAAGUGAGAAUGCCGGUAUGAGUAGCGAAAGACGGGUGAGAAUCCCGUCCACCGAAUGCCUAAGGUUUCCUGAGGAAGGCUCGUCCGCUCAGGGUUAGUCAGGACCUAAGCCGAGGCCGACAGGCGUAGGCGAUGGACAACAGGUUGAUAUUCCUGUACCACCUCUUUAUCGUUUGAGCAAUGGAGGGACGCAGAAGGAUAGAAGAAGCGUGCGAUUGGUUGUGCACGUCCAAGCAGUUAGGCUGAUAAGUAGGCAAAUCCGCUUAUCAUAAAGGCUGAGCUGUGAUGGGGAAGCUCCUUAUGGAGCGAAGUCUUUGAUUCCCCGCUGCCAAGAAAAGCUUCUAGCGAGAUAAAAGGUGCCUGUACCGCAAACCGACACAGGUAGGCGAGGAGAGAAUCUAAGGUGUGCGAGAGAACUCUGGUUAAGGAACUCGGCAAAAUGACCCCGUAACUUCGGGAGAAGGGUGCUUUCUUAACGGAAAGCCGCAGUGAAUAGGCCCAAGCGACUGUUUAGCAAAAACACAGCUCUCUGCGAAGCCGUAAGGCGAAGUAUAGGGGGUGACACCUGCCCGGUGCUGGAAGGUUAAGGAGAGGGGUUAGCGUAAGCGAAGCUCUGAACUGAAGCCCCAGUAAACGGCGGCCGUAACUAUAACGGUCCUAAGGUAGCGAAAUUCCUUGUCGGGUAAGUUCCGACCCGCACGAAAGGUGUAACGAUUUGGGCACUGUCUCAACCAGAGACUCGGUGAAAUUAUAGUACCUGUGAAGAUGCAGGUUACCCGCGACAGGACGGAAAGACCCCGUGGAGCUUUACUGUAGCCUGAUAUUGAAUUUUGGUACAGUUUGUACAGGAUAGGCGGGAGCCUUUGAAACCGGAGCGCUAGCUUCGGUGGAGGCGCUGGUGGGAUACCGCCCUGACUGUAUUGAAAUUCUAACCUACGGGUCUUAUCGACCCGGGAGACAGUGUCAGGUGGGCAGUUUGACUGGGGCGGUCGCCUCCUAAAGUGUAACGGAGGCGCCCAAAGGUUCCCUCAGAAUGGUUGGAAAUCAUUCGUAGAGUGCAAAGGCAUAAGGGAGCUUGACUGCGAGACCUACAAGUCGAGCAGGGACGAAAGUCGGGCUUAGUGAUCCGGUGGUUCCGCAUGGAAGGGCCAUCGCUCAACGGAUAAAAGCUACCCCGGGGAUAACAGGCUUAUCUCCCCAAGAGUCCACAUCGACGGGGAGGUUUGGCACCUCGAUGUCGGCUCAUCGCAUCCUGGGGCUGUAGUCGGUCCCAAGGGUUGGGCUGUUCGCCCAUUAAAGCGGUACGCGAGCUGGGUUCAGAACGUCGUGAGACAGUUCGGUCCCUAUCCGUCGUGGGCGUAGGAAAUUUGAGAGGAGCUGUCCUUAGUACGAGAGGACCGGGAUGGACGCACCGCUGGUGUACCAGUUGUUCUGCCAAGGGCAUAGCUGGGUAGCUAUGUGCGGAAGGGAUAAGUGCUGAAAGCAUCUAAGCAUGAAGCCCCCCUCAAGAUGAGAUUUCCCAUAGCGUAAGCUAGUAAGAUCCCUGAAAGAUGAUCAGGUUGAUAGGUUCGAGGUGGAAGCAUGGUGACAUGUGGAGCUGACGAAUACUAAUAGAUCGAGGACUUAACCAU